UACGUAGGGGGCAAGCGUUGUCCGGAAUCAUUGGGCGUAAAGAGCGUGUAGGCGGCCCGGUAAGUCCGCCGUGAAAGUCCAGGGCUCAACCCUGGGAUGCCGGUGGAAACUGUCGGGCUAGAGUCCGGAAGAGGCGAGUGGAAUUCCUGGUGUAGCGGUGAAAUGCGCAGAUAUCAGGAGGAACACCGGUGGCGAAGGCGGGAUCCUGGGCCAGUACUGACGCUGAGACGCGAAAGCGUGGGGAGCAAACAGG
rnacentral:rRNA from 1 species